rnacentral:rRNA from 1 species
GGCUGAGUAACGCGUGAGUAACGUGCCCUUCGGUGGGGUAUAGCCUCGGGAAACUGAGAGUAAUCCCGCAUACGAUCAUUGCCGGAUGAAAGCCUUCGGCGCCGAGGGAGCGGCUCGCGUCCUAUCAGGUAGUUGGUGAGGUAAAAGCUCACCAAGCCGAUGACGGGUAGCUGGUCUUAGAGGACGAUCAGCCAGAGGGGGACUGAGACACGGCCCCCACUCCUACGGGAGGCAGCAGCAGGGAAUUUUGGGCAAUGGGCGAAAGCCUGACCCAGCGACGUCGCGUGGGGGAUGAAGGCCUUAGGGCUGUAAACCCCUUUUCCCGGGGAAGAGCGGUACCCGGGGAAUAAGCUCCGGCUAACUACGUGCCAGCAGCCGCGGUAAUACGUAGGGAGCGAGCGUUACCCGGAAUUACUGGGCGUAAAGAGCGCGUAGGCGGCUUGGUAAGUCUUUUGUGAAAGCUCCCGGCUCAACUGGGAGA